CAAAACCCUCUUCCUAUUUGUAGUUUGAACAUGACAGCAAACGACGCCGUUCUCCUCCGCUUCUCCAUACCAUCCGAUACUCUCGCACCGUCGCCUUCACCAACCCAAUCCUCAAACCAAUUUCAUCACCCCCACUCUCUCCUAAACGACCUCGUCUUUAUAAUAGAAUCAGGCGACUCUCAAGCCCUAUUUUCCUAUAAAUAAUUUCUUGUGAUUGCCAUCGCGGUUGCUUCUUUGCUUCUCUUCAAUCUGUCUAACUUUACUGGGCCAUUGGUUAACAUUCCUUUAUGUCGCUUGAAAAAUUGUCGGUCCUUGAGUAUAUGAAUGGACGGAAUGGGAAACAUGGGCACAACAGGAACUCAUGUCUGUUGGUGGUUCUGACCUUUGUGCAAAAUUCUCUAACUUGCAUGUAUAUGUAGCCUUGAUUCUUCAAAUUGUUUUACUCUUUGAAUUAAAUAAUGAAUUUGGGUCGUUGGAAAGAAUGAUGCUCGAGAUUGAAGGACGCAUAGUGAUUAGUCAGUCAGAGUCUUAUGCGCCAAAUAGUGAUAGCAGUCAUACUGACCCUAUCAGUGUUGUAGCUUAAAUGUUGCUUAUGCCUACGGAACAAAUGGUUUGAAAAUUGACUCCACCAGAAGUCGGGAAGCCACCUGAUUGAAUUGAUUGGGACAAUCUUCAGACAGAUUGUUCAAGGUGGCACAAGCUGAAAGGAGAUCUAGCAAUGUGCUCUGAGGCUCUACUUAAGCAAGUUAGAUCAUACCAAGGAUUUGAUUUGUAGAAAGACAAGGAUCGGUUUGUGGAAUUUGCAAAUGCAUCCUUGGACCUGUGCAAGGUGUAUCAGGAACUUGCUUUGCGUGGCAAUAGCCGUAGAGAAAUGUUUGCUGCCGAGAUGCAAUUGAAGCAAGCUAUAGAUCUUUCUAGCACUAGAGAAUAUAGAGAUCUUGUAGCUUGCCUUGAAGACAUACAAAGGGCACUGAAAGCUACAUAGUUGCCUGGUUCACGAAGCCUUCACUCAGCCUUUCUUGUUAGAUUGAUUCUCUGUAUGAUAUACGUGCUCAUGUGUGAGUGGAAGGGUAAGAUGGUGUGAAAUGGUGCUCAUUGGCUCAAGCUUGGGUUACGCUUAAAACUUUUACUUAAACAGAGUGCUUUUGUUUUAUGUAUGCAUUAGCUUGAGCUUCAGUAGUGUCUUAUAUGGAAUGCAGUCUAGAUUAACUUGCAAGACUUAAUGAGAUUCUUCAGAAGGAAUGAGAUUGUACAAUGAUCACUUGUAGAUUCAUAAUUUAGACAUGGUUUUGGCAUGUGAUGAAUAUCUUAUGAUUUUGAUGUCUUCCUCAUCAAUGCUCAGUUAGUGCAGUCUUAUAAAUGCUGUCAAAGCCCCGUGAAGAGACUUCCUUUCGGAAGCUGACCUGUGACUGAGCCUGUGUGAGCAGAAGGUUCCCACCAAAUAUAACACCAUAUACAUAUGUAAGAAAAGUUGGAAUCAGGAGAAAAAUGCUCCACUUAUUCCAUAAAUGUGAGAUAUAAGAGCAUCUCCAAUGGCGGACUUCCCGUCUCCCUUCGGAGAGGCUUCCGGGAAGUCUGUCGGGGAAGGGUGCUAUUGUGGCACGGAGAGGAGGACGCCGACGUCCCGUGAGGACAUGGGAAGGACGGGCGGACGUCCGCCGGGGAUGUCCGUCCGCGCGGGAAUGACAGAUUGUGCAGUGGGAAGUCCUUACGACGUGGCAGGAGGGUGAGAAGUCCUUAUGACGUGGCAGGAGGUGUAUUUGGGAAGGGCGACGGGAAUGGCAUUGGGGAAGUCCGCCCAUUGGAGAUGCUCGAUACCAAAUUCUUUGUACGUUGGAUUUUCUUCAAAUCAUUUUCUGCGAAUCGACACCAACACCUUUGGACAAAGGAAUCUGUCCCUACGCAUUUUAUCUUGUGUUGGAGAAACUUUGCAUUACAUUUUAGAUUUGAUCAUGAUCAACCCAAUUAUAAAUAUAAACAUAAAUA